CUUGGUUGGAGUGUACAUGGGUCCCGGCUGGAAAAUAAAGUUCUCCAAUAAGAUCCCAGGACUGUGUCAUGCUUUGAGAGUUCAUCACUAAUCUAAUUCGGGGAUGAGGUCCAACAAUGCUAGCCAUGCUGGGCAACCUUGGGAAUGUCACACUAACUGGAUCUGACAGGGUGAUAAUACCUCCCUCACAGACUUGUGAAGAUUAUGUGACAAAAUGCUUGGAGGUUUUCACACACACGAAGUCCUUGCCUUAUAUUAACUAUCAUAAACCCAUAACAUUUCUUUUAAAUUUUCCUGUGUAUGUUGGGAGGUAUAAAAAUGGCCCACUGUUUUUGUUUUUCAUUGCUUCGUGGCUAUUAUGAUCAGUUUUAGGACCUGGGAAGAACUCUUCGAACAGUUUUUCUUCUUGGAUACAUGAACUGCUAUAGAAACAUUCCUUGUCCUCAUGUGGUUUUGGAAUCGUAAGACUAAGACCAAAUUCAAGAGAUGGUACCAACACUUAGGUCUGAUUGUUUGACAGGAGAUGAGGAACAAAGAUGGUAGGAAAUUGUGAUGCUAUUGAAAACACAGCAGGAGAAGUGGAAGGAACAACUCCAGAAGAAGUCACUGAACACUCAGGGUGCCUGGAUCGAUCCUGAGGAACUUCCCUAGGCCACCACUGUAAGACCGAGGGCCUUACCAAACUCUCCAAGGAGCUGACUAACGAAGCACACCCAGGAAUCCCAGCGGUGCCUUCAGAAUCUUUUACUGUUGUGUAGCUGUUUUCAGGGAAAGAUGCAGUGAGCUUCAGGACACAGAAAAGAUUCUGGCUCAGAUUGGAAGGGGAGAGGCAAGAAUUCAAAGAAGAGGAUAUAUGACGGGCUUUAUGUUAUCUCCUAAAACAUACCUGUGUUUAAAAGUUCAAAUCGUGGCAACUUGAGAUGGAAAAUACAAGUUUAUUACAUACAUUUAUAUUUAUAACUCAAAAAUGCCAAAGGAGAUGUAAUACUUUACUUAUAUUGACUGAAAGAGAAAACAUGGAACUAGAAAGAAAGGAGAAGCCAGAGAAACAGAAACAAGGCCAAAGCCUUCAACACAGAAGCAUAUAAUGAAUGGAGCACCCGAUGAUCAAGGAAGAAAAAAGAAGAUGAAAAGAUGAAUGCAUAUUUGUUUCAUAAUCACUAAUGGGUGUCAUAAAAUGUACUGUACAUUGCUCGAUUGUCAUGACAUUGAAAGGGAUCAAGUUCACCUGUUCAUUGUGAUAUAUUAUGUAGUUCCCCUUUUCAAAAUGCAACAGUUCUGAAUUUUUUUAUCAUUAACACUUGAAGUAAUAAAAUAGGCUUCAUUUAUUAAUAAAUGUUUCAUUUGAUUCAUUUUUUCUUAUAGUUCCACUUGUGAAGAUUGUGACUUUUGUUUAUCAGGUAUCAUUUCUACACUUCUGAGG
rnacentral:lncRNA from 1 species